ensembl:lncRNA PLS3-AS1 PLS3 antisense RNA 1
ACUUAGUUGGAAUUCACCAUGAACUGCAUCUCGAGGAUCAAGUUUAGGCUCCCCAGUCCAUUGUGACAUCCAGCAAAGUGGAGCCGGGCGCCCCCAGCAUCCCGUCUGUCUGACGCUAAAUGGCGAGGCUCUCCAACCCACUUAGCUCCAAGCUCAACCUUCUGCAAAAGUUCAACCUUCUGCACCACUGGGGAUAUCGUGCAGCUCAGACAUGGUCUUGCUCUGUUGCCCAGGCUGGAGUGCAGUGGCAUGAUCAUAGCUUACUGCAGCCUCAAAUUCCUGGGCUCAAGUGAUCCUCCCACCUCAGCCUCCAGCAUAGCUGAGACUACAGACACAUGCCACCACACCCAGGUGUCUGCAUCCGGGCUCUUUUUUGUAGUUCUGGUCUAUGUACAAGACAGGAAUAAUAGAGUUGGAGAAGACCCUGAGACGAGCAACUGAAACGGUGAAGGGGACGGAAAGCAAGGCGGGAUAUAAGCUAUAUAUAAAAUGAUAACUCUUCAUAUUAAAACUGGCUAAAG